AACCAGCACCUCAAGUGGUCAGGAUGAUUAUUGGGCCUAAAGCAUCCGUAGCCGGCUCUGUAAGUUUUCGGUUAAAUCUGUACGCUUAACGUACAGGCUGCCGGGAAUACUGCAGAGCUAGGUAGUGGGAGAGGUAGACGGUACUCGGUAGGAAGGGGUAAAAUCCUUUGAUCUAUUGAUGACCACCUGUGGCGAAGGCGGUCUACCAGAACACGUACGACGGUGAGGGAUGAAAGCUGGGGGAGCAAACCGGAUUAGAUACCCGGGUAGUCCCAGCUGUAAACUAUGCAAACUCAGUGAUGCAUUGGCUUGUGGCCAAUGCAGUGCUGCAGGGAAGCCGUUAAGUUUGCCGCCUGGGAAGUACGUACGCAAGUAUGAAACUUAAAGGAAUUGGCGGGGGAGCACCACAAGGGGUGAAGCCUGCGGUUCAAUUGGAGUCAACGCCAGAAAUCUUACCCGGAGAGACAGCAGAAUGAAGGUCAAGCUGAAGACUUUACCAGACAAGCUGAGAGGUGGUGCAUGGCCGUCGCCAGCUCGUGCCGUGAGAUGUCCUGUUAAGUCAGGUAACGAGCGAGAUCCCUGCCUCUAGUUGCCACCAUUACUCUCAGGAGUAGUGGGGCGAAUUAGCGGGACCGCCGCAGUUAAUACGGAGGAAGGAAGAAGCCACGGCAGGUCAGUAUGCCCCGAAACUCUGGGGCCACACGCGGGCUGCAAUGGUAACGACAAUGGGUUUCGAAUUCGAAAGGAUGAGGUAAUCCUCAAACGUUACCACAGUUAUGACUGAGGGCUGCAACUCGCCCUCACGAAUAUGGAAUCCCUAGUAACUGCGUGUCACUAUCGCGCGGUGAAUACGUCCCUGCUCCU
rnacentral:rRNA from 1 species